AGCUACAGGCUUAGCACAUGCAAGUCGAGGGGCAGCAUGGUCUUAGCUUGCUAAGACUGAUGGCGACCGGCGCACGGGUGAGUAACACGUAUCCAACCUGCCGUCUACUCUUGGACAGCCUUCUGAAAGGAAGAUUAAUACAAGAUGGCAUCAUGAGUCCGCAUGUUCACAUGAUUAAAGGUAUUCCGGUAGACGAUGGGGAUGCGUUCCAUUAGAUAGUAGGCGGGGUAACGGCCCACCUAGUCUUCGAUGGAUAGGGGUUCUGAGAGGAAGGUCCCCCACAUUGGAACUGAGACACGGUCCAAACUCCUACGGGAGGCAGCAGUGAGGAAUAUUGGUCAAUGGGCGAGAGCCUGAACCAGCCAAGUAGCGUGAAGGAUGACUGCCCUAUGGGUUGUAAACUUCUUUUAUAAAGGAAUAAAGUCGGGUAUGCAUACCCGUUUGCAUGUACUUUAUGAAUAAGGAUCGGCUAACUCCGUGCCAGCAGCCGCGGUAAUACGGAGGAUCCGAGCGUUAUCCGGAUUUAUUGGGUUUAAAGGGAGCGUAGAUGGAUGUUUAAGUCAGUUGUGAAAGUUUGCGGCUCAACCGUAAAAUUGCAGUUGAUACUGGAUAUCUUGAGUGCAGUUGAGGCAGGCGGAAUUCGUGGUGUAGCGGUGAAAUGCUUAGAUAUCACGAAGAACUCCGAUUGCGAAGGCAGCCUGCUAAGCUGCAACUGACAUUGAGGCUCGAAAGUGUGGGUAUCAAACAGGAUUAGAUACCCUGGUAGUCCACACGGUAAACGAUGAAUACUCGCUGUUUGCGAUAUACUGCAAGCGGCCAAGCGAAAGCGUUAAGUAUUCCACCUGGGGAGUACGCCGGCAACGGUGAAACUCAAAGGAAUUGACGGGGGCCCGCACAAGCGGAGGAACAUGUGGUUUAAUUCGAUGAUACGCGAGGAACCUUACCCGGGCUUAAAUUGCAGAUGAAUUACGGUGAAAGCCGUAAGCCGCAAGGCAUCUGUGAAGGUGCUGCAUGGUUGUCGUCAGCUCGUGCCGUGAGGUGUCGGCUUAAGUGCCAUAACGAGCGCAACCCUUGUUGUCAGUUACUAACAGGUUCCGCUGAGGACUCUGACAAGACUGCCAUCGUAAGAUGUGAGGAAGGUGGGGAUGACGUCAAAUCAGCACGGCCCUUACGUCCGGGGCUACACACGUGUUACGAUGGGGGGUACAGAGGGCCGCUACCACGCGAGUGGAUGCCAAUCCCCAAAACCUCUCUCAGUUCGGACUGGAGUCUGCAACCCGACUCCACGAAGCUGGAUUCGCUAGUAAUCGCGCAUCAGCCACGGCGCGGUGAAUACGUUCCCGGGCCUUGUACACACCGCCCGUCAAGCCAUGGGAGCCGGGGGUACCUGAAGUGCGUAACCGCGAGGAGCGCCCUAGGGUAAAACUGGUGACUGGGGCUAAGUCGU
rnacentral:rRNA from 1 species